rnacentral:rRNA from 1 species
UGGGGAAUAUUGGACAAUGGGCGAAAGCCUGAUCCAGCCAUGCCGCGUGUGUGAAGAAGGUCUUCGGAUUGUAAAGCACUUUAAGUUGGGAGGAAGGGCAGUAAGCGAAUACCUUGCUGUUUUGACGUUACCGACAGAAUAAGCACCGGCUAACUCUGUGCCAGCAGCCGCGGUAAUACAGAGGGUGCAAGCGUUAAUCGGAAUUACUGGGCAUAAAGCGCGCGUAGGUGGUUCGUUAAGUUGAAUGUGAAAGCCCCGGGCUCAACCUGGGAACUGCAUCCAAAACUGGCGAGCUAGAGUAGGGCAGAGGGUGGUGGAAUUUCCUGUGUAGCGGAGAAAUGCGUAGAUAUAGGAAGGAACACCAGUGGCGAAGGCGACCACCUGGGCUCAUACUGACACUGAGGUGCGAAAGCGUGGGGAGCAAACAGG